GGGUUAGUCGUUGGACCGAGUCUUCGUAAUGCGGGGGUCACAGGUUCGAGUCCUGUAAGCGGCACCA
rnacentral:tRNA from 1 species